UAAAGGAUACCACCAAUAGCACAACACCCUACUGCUGUAAUUACAUGUAUAAAAUCUACUCUGGGUUCUUCCAUUUAUGGCCUUUCCUCUAAUCAUAAGAGGUACCCGUUUCAUAUAAUUAUAGUUGCAACUAAUAAGGUGAUCGAUUUAACGAGGUCCACAAGAUAAAAAUGUCUCCAUUUAGCUGUGCAAUGAAAUAUCGAAG